UACGUAGGGUGCGAGCGUUGUCCGGAAUUAUUGGGCGUAAAGGGCUCGUAGGCGGUUUGUCGCGUCGGGAGUGAAAACCCAGGGCUUAACUCUGGGCUUGCUUUCGAUACGGGCAGACUAGAGGUAUGCAGGGGAGAACGGAAUUCCUGGUGUAGCGGUGAAAUGCGCAGAUAUCAGGAGGAACACCGGUGGCGAAGGCGGGUCUCUGGGCCGAAACUGACGCUGAGGAGCGAAAGCCAGGGGAGCAAACGGG
rnacentral:rRNA from 1 species